GUCCCCGUAACGCAGUGGAUAUAGCGCGUUGGACUUCUAAUCCAAAGGUCGUGGGUUCGAAUCCCACUUGGGAUG